CAAUAGCGUAUACUAAUGUUGUUGCAGUUAAAAAGCUCGUAGUUGAACUUCUGGUAGGAGUGUCCCGGCCUUUUUGUUUUUACAAAUUGUAUGCUGUGUGACAUCUCUGGCCAUCCUUCUUCUUUGUUUAAAGAAGAUCUUUCACUGUAAAAAAAUUAGGGUGUUCAAAGCAAAAGUUUCUUUGGAAUAUAUUAGUAUGGGAUGAUAAGAUAGGCUCUAGAUGCUAUUUUGUUGGUUUGCACAUUUAGAGAAUGAUUAACAGGGACAGUUGGGGGUAUUCGUAUUUACAUGUCAGAGGUGAAAUUCUUGGAUUUUGGAAAGACGAACUACUGCGAAAGCAUUUGCCAAGGAUGUUUUCAUUGA
rnacentral:rRNA from 1 species